GGAAAGAUGCAGGAGUGGCUGAACUGGCACGCCUGGAAAGCGUGUGUGCGGGCAACCGUACCGUGGGUUCGAAUCCCACUCUUUCCG
rnacentral:tRNA from 1 species